GCGGCGUGCCUAACACAUGCAAGUCGAGCGAUGAAGUUCCUUCGGGAACGGAUUAGCGGCGGACGGGUGAGUAACACGUGGGCAACCUGCCUUAUAGAGGGGAAUAGCCUUCCGAAAGGAAGAUUAAUACCGCAUAAGAUUGUAGCUUCGCAUGAAGCAGCAAUUAAAGGAGCAAUCCGCUAUAAGAUGGGCCCGCGGCGCAUUAGCUAGUUGGUGAGGUAACGGCUCACCAAGGCGACGAUGCGUAGCCGACCUGAGAGGGUGAUCGGCCACAUUGGGACUGAGACACGGCCCACACUCCUACGGGAGGCAGCAGUGGGGAAUAUUGCACAAUGGGGGAAACCCUGAUGCACCAACGCCGCGUGAGUGAUGACGGCCUUCGGGUUGUAAAGCUCUGUCUUUGGGGACGAUAAUGACGGUACCCAAGGAGGAAGCCACGGCUAACUACGUGCCACCAGCCGCGGUAAUACGUAGGUGGCAAGCGUUGUCCGGAUUUACUGGGCGUAAAGGGAGCGUAGGCGGAUUUUUAAGUGGGAUGUGAAAUACCCGGGCUCAACCUGUGUGCUGCAUUCCAAACUGGAAAUCUAGAGUGCAGGAGGGGAAAGUGGAAUUCCUAGUGUAGCGGUGAAAUGCGUAGAGAUUAGGAAGAACACCAGUGGCGAAAGCGACUUUCUGGACUGUAACUGACGCUGAGGCUCGAAAGCGUGGGGAGCAAACAGGAUUAGAUACCCUGGUAGUUCACGCCGUAAACGAUGAAUACUAGGUGUAGGGGUUGUCAUGACCUCUGUGCCGCCGCUAACGCAUUAAGUAUUCCGCCUGGGGAGUACGGUCGCAAGAUUAAAACUCAAAGGAAUUGACGGGGGCCCGCACAAGUAGCGGAGCAUGUGGUUUAAUUCGAAGCAACGCGAAGAACCUUACCUAGACUUGACAUCUCCUGAAUUACCAUGUAAUGUGGGAAGUCCCUUCGGGGACAGGAAGACAGGUGGUGCAUGGUUGUCGUCAGCUCGUGUCGUGAGAUGUUGGGUUAAGUCCCGCAACGAGCGCAACCCUUAUUGUUAGUUGCUACCAUUUAGUUGAGCACUCUAGCGAGACUGCCCGGGUUAACCGGGAGGAAGGUGGGGAUGACGUCAAAUCAUCAUGCCCCUUAUGUCUAGGGCUACACACGUGCUACAAUGGCCGGUACAACGAGAUGCAAUACCGUGAGGUGGAGCAAAACUAUAAAACCGGUCUCAGUUCGGAUUGUAGGGUGAAACUCGCCUACAUGAAGCUGGAGUUACUAGUAAUCGCGAAUCAGAAUGUCGCGGUGAAUACGUUCCCGGGCCUUGUACACACCGCCCGUCACACCAUGAGAGUUGGCAAUACCCAAAGUUGGUGAUCUAACCCGUAAGGGAGGAAGCCACCUAAGGUAGGGUCAGCGAUUGGGGUGA
rnacentral:rRNA from 1 species